GAUGAAGAACGCAGCGAAAUGCGAUAAGUAAUGUGAAUUGCAGAAUCCAGUGAAUCAUCGAAUCUUUGAACGCACAUUGCGCCCGCCAGCAUUCUGGCGGGCAUGCCUGUUCGAGCGUCAUUUCAACCCUCGACCUCCCUUUGGGGAAGUCGGCGUUGGGGACCGGCAGCACACCGCCGGCCCUGAAAUGGAGUGGCGGCCCGUCCGCGGCGACCUCUGCGUAGUAAACCAACUCGCACCGGAACCCCGACGUGGCCACGCCGUAAAACACCCAACUUCUGAACGUUGACCUCGAAUCAGGUAGGACUACCCGCUGAACUUAAGCAUAUCAUAAGCGGAGGA
rnacentral:misc_RNA from 1 species